AUACGUAGGGGGCGAGCGUUGUCCGGAAUGACUGGGCGUAAAGGGCGUGUAGGCGGCGGUGUAAGUCAGGAGUGAAAGUCCCGCAUUCAAUGUGGGAAUUGCUUUGGAUACUGCAGUGCUAGAGUGCGGAAGAGGUAAGUGGAAUUCCCAGUGUAGCGGUGAAAUGCGUAGAGAUUGGGAGGAACACCAGUGGCGAAGGCGACUUACUGGGCCGUAACUGACGCUGAGGCGCGAAAGCGUGGGGAGCGAACGGGAUUAGAUACCCUGGUAGUCCACGCGGUAAGCGAUGAAUGCUAGGUGUGCGGGGACUGACCCCCUGCGUGCCGCAGCUAACGCAAUAAGUAUUCCACCUGGGGAGUACGAUCGCAAGGUUGAAACUCAAAUGAAUUGACGGGG
rnacentral:rRNA from 1 species